rnacentral:lncRNA from 1 species
UUUCUUUCUCUCAAAUCCAGACCAAACCAUCGUGUGCUUAAUUAUUCAGUUCAUAUGUGUUGAUUAUUAGUUUAUUACUAAGAGAUUUAUAUUUAUCAGUUACAUAUUGAUGUAUAUAAAUAGUGAAGUUUGCCCUAAAUCUCUUCCAUAUGACUGAAUCUUAUGCAAAAAGCAUAACUUUUGAAGCUCUUGAAGAAACUCAUCACUUCUCAGUCGCCGCCAAACAAGAAACCGGAAAGGAAUGGGAACUCUUCAAAGAGAAUGUCAUGGAUUCAAAUGCUCUAUACAAUCUGCCCUAAUUUCUUUCAUGGAUUUAAAUGCUCUGUAUAAUCUGCCCUAAUUUCUUGAUCGUGAAGAUUUUUGACUUGAAACGUGUGAAUCAAAGAAGUUUAAUUGGGGAAAAAUGGGCUUCAUUUGUUGAAGAACCUUUCUUUAUAUUGCUACAACCUACUUGUUCAAGAACUUUUAGAUAUAUGAAGAAAAGAAAAUUUUUGACUUGAAAUGUGUGAAUCAAAGAAGUUUAAUUGGCGAAAAUGGGCUUCAUUUGUUGAAGCUUUUUAAAUCGGAAGCCUACUGCAGGUGUUCCUGGUGUUAUAUAUGUUACGCCAGAUGAAAAUGCCAGAGUCAUCAGGGCACAAGUAGUUGAUUAUUACACCGAGUUGCUAACCAAGGUUUUGGGGAACGAGAAGGAUACCCAAAUGUGUAUGUAUCACAUUUCAUGGCCACCAGAUUGUGGAUUCUGUUGUGAACUAGAUGAUGACUGCGUAAAGGAAUUAGUCGGUGUUCCUGGUGUUAUAUCUGUUACGCCAGAUGAAAAUGUCUAUUCAGAUUAUAAAGAUUACGGAGGUAUCUUAAUAUGCUAAUAUCUUAGACGUAACAAGAAGAGAAUACAAGAAAAGGAGAUUCUUACACCAACAUUUCAAUCUCCUGAUUACAUUAGGUGCUUCUGCAUCAAACGCAUAAGGUUUUCGAGCCAACAGUCCGAGUACAUGCCCGUUUAUGGUAUUCUGAAAGAAACGUCCAGAAGAAACUUUCCAAUCAAGUGGAUUUAUUCCACAUCAACCAUGGAAGAUACAACUGCUCAGUAUCAUGACUGGAUUCGACUCCUUGAGGUCAUAUCAAAAUAUAAGACAUAUGUUGAGGUGUCACAUUUGAGGCAUACGGUGUCGGUCACUGAGGGUCCUAUACUGUGGUGGAGUUAUGCGGCUCAAGCUGCAUUGCAGCAGAAGAAAAUGUGGCAGACCGUGGCAUCCAUGUGAAAUCCAAAAUCAAGAAAGAAUACCCGACAUUACAGUAUGCAGGGUGGACGAUCUUCGGGAUGAUAAACAAUUCUUAACUGACCAUCCUGGUGCAGUUCCAAUCACAAUGGCUCAGGGAGAGGAACUGAAGAAGCUAAUUGGCGUCCCUGCGUAUAUAGAGUGUAGUUAAAAAAAACAGCAGAACGUGAAGGCUAUUUUUGAUGCAGCCAUUAAAGUGGUUCUGCAGCCACCGAAGCAUAAGAAGAAAAAGAAGCGUAAGUGUCACACCCCGACCACGAAAAACAACAAAUCGUGGCGGAAACGUCGAGUGUCGUAACAGAAUCAUUGUUUCAUAACGAUGGAUUAAAUAAUUUUGUUUUAUUGAAUUAUUGAACACAUUUUUUUACUACAAAUCAAACAAAUACAAUUAUUGUCUUUCAAGUUUUAAAGUCGCUAAGGCACGAGUCCAUCCUAUGUAUAGCAU